UUUUUUUUUUUUGUCUUUUUGCCAUUUCUAGGGCUGCACCUGCGGCAUAUGCAGGUUCCUAGGCUAGGGGUCUAAUCGGAGCUGUAGCCGCCAGCCUACACCACAGCCACAGCAACGCUGGAUCCUUAACCCACUGAGCAAGGCCGGGGAUUGAACCCGCAACCUCAUGGUUCCUAGUCAGAUUCGUUAACCACUGUGCCACGACGGGAACUCCUAGCAAACACUUUCUUUAGCACAGCCUCUGCACCACAGACAGACCGAAACCCGGGGACGGGAGGUGCCCACAGUGGCAGAGCUGCGUGAGAACCCAGGCGGUUUGGCCUCAGCGUCCCUGCUCUCAACCUCUCUGCCAUUUGUGGUUCGAAGGGAAAAAAAAGGGUAAACCCUGCAAAAAAUAGCUACCUCUGUUCCUGUGGCUUGGGGGUCAGAGCAACGCCACAUGUCACCCUUUGGACAAAGCAUGGACCCAGGCUGCUGUCCACGGGAGCAGGGGUGAUGUGUGCUGAAGGCCUCUCUGGACCAGGUACCAGGUACCAGGGACCCUGCUGCAGUCACUGGGGAGAGCAGGGAGGUCAGGGUGCCAAAUGGAGCUCCCAGAGGUCAGUUGUAAACAGGUAUGAGGACAGUGCCCCCCAGGGUUUACUGUGAAAGGCUUUUCUCUCCGGGACGCCCCAGUUCCCUGGCCCACUGGCUUGGAAGCAGCCCCACCUGGCCUCUUGGGAUCCAGGAGCAGGCCGGUGAGGAAGAUGCCCCACCAGCCGAAGGGGCUGCAUUCAGGAGUGGCUGUGAAGAAAAGCACGAAAUCUGGGCGGCAUCAAGGCAGGCAGGAAAAGAGUUCCCAUUGUGGCUCAGUGGUAACAAACCCAACUAGGAUCGAAGAGGACAAGGGUUCGAUCCCUGGCCUUGCUCAGUGGGUUAAGGAUCUGGUGUUGCUGUGAGCUGUGGUGUAGGUCGAAGACACAGCUCUGAUAGUAUGUUGCUGUGGCUGCGGCUAGGCCGGCAGCUGUAGCUCCAGUUCAACCCCUGGCCUGGGAACGUCCAUAUGCCACAGGUGCAGCCCUAAAAAUUUUUAAAAAAUAAUAAUAAAAAUAAAUAAAUUUUUUAAAAGGAUUUAAUUUUCACACCAACCCAACAAGGCGGCUACUAUUCUCCUUGUCUUAUCAACAGGAAACUCGGGUAUUGUUCUGCUGGAACAAGAGAGGGCCAGGAGGCAACCCUCCCAAACUGGGUGUGUUUGGCCAGGGCUGAGCAGAGCUGUAACGGUCUUUGAGCAAAGCAUUAGGGAUACUGUUUUUUGUUCUUUUUCUUAAAGACAGGCCAAAUAAAAUGGGAUGCAGGUUAGACUCCAGAAGAAACCUUCCCAACGUAAAGAGAGGUUAGAGAGUACACUUGCUGGGAUAGAUCCCUGAACACUGCAUCACUCCAUCACGUGCCUGGUUUCCAGGCAGGAGGCUGGACCAUCUGACCUCUGUCACCACGAGAGCAUCACCUAACGCACUCAGACUACCUGGCUCCAGCUCCAGUCUCGAGGGAGGCUUUUGGACAAGGCAAAUCUGAGGUUAAACCCAUCCUUUGCUAAAUGUGACCAGCAGAUGGGUGGAGAGUCCUGAUACAAAGAUGAAGUGUGGGCUUUGCGGAUUUAGUCAAUGAGCAAAUUUAGCCCAAGCAUGGUACUGAUUGAUAAACGCCAACUAUUUCACCUGUUGGAUGACGUGGUUCGUCAAACCAGCAGGGACCGAGAUGGCUAUGGGAAGUGUGGCAGGCAACCCACUUGGGCAGAAAACUACUCAGGAAGCCCCGUCCUGCGUGGGCCACCCUCGCCUCCUCGCUCUUGGAGGUCUGGAAAGACACAGAUGAUCUGCUGUUGCCCUGAGCUGCCUGGGCCAACGCAUGUGUCUGGUCCUAGAACAGAAGACUCCACGAACAGGGCUAUGAUCAGCCAGGGAAUGCAGGCCACCCUGUCAGGAGAAGGGGGUGCCUGGGGUCCCAGAUCAUACACAAGAUGCUCAGUCUGGUCUAAAGUAAAGCUCCCAGUUCUUUUCUUAUUAUUACUUUUUUUUUUUUUUUUUAGGGCUACACCCGCAGCAUAUGGAGGUUCCCAGGGUAGGGGUCAGAUUGGAGCUGCAGCUGCUGGC
rnacentral:lncRNA from 1 species